ensembl:lncRNA
AUCGCGCGGCCCGGGGGCACCCAGGGCUGCCCGUGCUCCCUGUGGCACAGCUGUGGCACCCUGAGGCGUGGCGGCCUGCGCGUGCCGAGGGCAGUUGGCGGGAAGGUGCGCGCCUCUCCUCGGAGGCGGUGUGUGAGGGGGCUCCCCGGGGCUCACAGCCCUCACUGUGCCGAGGUGUUCACCCGGCAGCAUGGGUCUCAAUUUGAGUGUGUCCCUCAGAUUGGGCAGCCUCAGCCCCAGCUCACCUCCAUCCCGGUGGUGGUGUUCCUGGCGGGUUUGUGCCUGCGGCUCGGAGCGGAGGACCUGAAUGACAUCUGAGUUACACUGCAGAAUUUGCUCUAAAAUUGCAUCGCUUUGUGAAUGAUGAAGUUGGGCGAAACCAGUUAUUUUAGAGAUGCAGAUUCCACAAGAUACCCAGAACUACUCACCUUCAGCCAUGUGAGUAUUCAUUUAGUCACCAACAUGGAUGCUGAUUUCAAAACAAAUAUUUGGGUGUGAUUUUUUUUUCUGACAGUUCUAUGGAAAUCACCACUUUCCUGUACUAUAAUAAGAUGGCUUACUGCUUAUUUUUCAAUGGCACAAAUAACUCAUUUUCUUCUAAUUUAUUAUUAUUUGGGUUGCAGUCACACUUAUAGGUUCUAUACGUAUCUGGGAUUCAUUUCUCAGGACACUGCAUCCUCUCAGUAAGAACUGAAUGAAAAAGUGAAGUUCAGGAAUAACUGGACACAUAGGCCUUUUACAUUUUCUUCUUGAAGAGAAUUUGAAAGAGUAGGAUUCAGAGUUGUUUUGGAGUUGACAGAAAUAAAGGAAUUUGCUGUCCAACACUCUUAUCUCAAAUAAAUUCAAUUUCUUUAAAAGAAAAUAAACUGAUUUCAACGACAUUUUCAUUUCUCAAAAUCUCUCUCUGAAGCUGAUCUCUGGUCUUAGACCAAUCCUUAUCAUCCCAACUACUCAUUGCCCUGCUGACAUCUCUCUUAAGAUAUCUCAAGUCAGUGGAUAAAUAGAGCAGUCUCUUUACCUCUAUCACAGUGAGGGAAUCCCAAAAUGCUAGAAAUUCUUCAAUGGAAGAAAACACCAGUAUUUCUUCAAAUUAUCAAGUGAUUUCUAAUCUGAAUUAUGUGUGUCAGGGAUGGACUGGUGUUAAGAACUGAGAAAUGAUGGUAUAAUACACCUGAAAAAGAACAGUGAUUUGUUUUUUUUCCAGGUUCAGGAAAGAACACUAAAACUUCUAUAUGUUAAGCUACAUUUUUCAAACCUUGAAACCUUACAGAAAUUACCCUUUACUCCUCAUUACUCAACAUCACAUCAUACCUGCCUGUUCUCUGUAUGAAGAUGAAAUAAGUAGUUUUGGGCAAGGUAGAUAAUCGGCAUUCUUCUCUUCAGCUUCCUGUAUUCUGUUAUUUUUGCAGUCUUGGCUCCAUAUUUAACAUAUUUAGAUAGUGGUUAUGUACUUUAGAAAACUGAUUGGGUGAUUCUUCUAAUUUCAUACGCGCAUGAAGGGGGAGUGGAAAAAAACUGGCUGCUCUCUUUUAUCUUGAGGCAUUGGGAAUGAGAUUACUUAGACUUCUUCCUAAGUUUGCUUAGGCCUGAUUUCCCUGUAUCCUCUGUUGAAAUCAGAAUUUCAGAGCACUUGAAUGAAGGUAACCAGCUUUAAAUACUCAAGGUGCAGACAAUUUCAGAAGAAAGAUAAGUCUUCCAUCAAACUUUCUAAUACCAUAAUAAUCUUUAUUUGGUAUUUUUAUCAAAUUCUUCACAGUUGUGGUUUCUGUGGAAGGCUGAUUUUCUGCAUGCCUUGCUCUGAGACAUUACUAUUUUCAUUCACUCUCAGAAAAUAAACUUAAUGGAAGUAUAUAUAAACAUUUGCUUCAAAUUAUUCCAGUAGAAUCCAAUCCAGAAUGUACAGAACUCUUUCUAGUGACUUCAGUUUGAUCAUUACCAUUCAGUCCAGUAGUGAAUUACUGUUUAUUUAUUUAUUUU